rnacentral:rRNA from 1 species
UGGGGAAUAUUGCACAAUGGGCGCAAGCCUGAUGCAGCCAUGCCGCGUGUGUGAAGAAGGCCUUCGGGUUGUAAAGCACUUUCAGCGGGGAGGAAGGCGUUAAGGUUAAUAACCUUGGCGAUUGACGUUACCCGCAGAAGAAGCACCGGCUAACUCCGUGCCAGCAGCCGCGGUAAUACGGAGGGUGCAAGCGUUAAUCGGAAUUACUGGGCGUAAAGCGCACGCAGGCGGUUGAUUGAGUCAGAUGUGAAAUCCCCGGGCUUAACCCGGGAAUUGCAUCUGAUACUGGUCAGCUAGAGUCUUGUAGAGGGGGGUAGAAUUACAUGUGUGGCGGUGAAAUGCGUAGAGAUGUGGAGGAAUACCGGUGGCGAAGGCGGCCCCCUGGACAAAGACUGACGCUCAGGUGCGAAAGCGGGGGGAGCAAACAGG